rnacentral:rRNA from 1 species
AUGAAAAUUCUCAGUUGGAACUGUCGAGGGCUGGGACAACCUUGUAUGGUUCAAGAGCUUGUGUGUCCGACUAAGACGCACCGUCCCAAUGUUAUCUUUCUUUCGGAAACUAGGAAAAAUAAAGAGUAUGUUGAGCUUUUGCGUUACCGGUUGGGUAUGAAUAAUGUGUUUACUGUUUCUGGCCAUGGUAAAGGUGGAGGACUAGUCGUGUUUUGGGAUGGAGCAUAUUCUUGUGGGUUGAACAAAUAUGGUGAACAUUUUGUGGACAUGUACAUCAACAAGGGUGAUGGUACAAAGUGGAGGUGCACAUUUAUUUAUGGAGAGCUUAAGGCGAGUCAGAGGUAUGUUAUGUGGGAACUUUUGAGGCGGAUUAAACCUCUUGGUGUUGGACCUUGGUUUAUGGUGGGGGAUUUUAACGAAGCUAUAUGGCAAAAUGAACAUGUCUCUCGACAUAAGAGAUCUCCUAGACUCAUGGCUAACUUUCGUGAAGUUCUGUCUGAGUGCAAUUUAUUUGAUUUGGGCUUUCAAGGUGCUCCGUGGACAUAUAAUAAUAUGCAAGAGGGCAACAAGAAUGUUAAGGUAUGUCUUGACCGUGAAGUGGCAUGCCCCCUUUGGUCUUCUAUUUUCCCUCAAUGUAAGGUCUCCCAUAUUAUUAGCUCCAGAUAUGAUCAUUGCCCCAUUUUAUUGAGUUGA